rnacentral:rRNA from 1 species
UACGUAGGGUGCGAGCGUUGUCCGGAUUUAUUGGGCGUAAAGGGCUCGUAGGCGGCUUGUCGCGUCGGGAGUGAAAGCCCGCUGCUUAACGGCGGGUUUGCUUUCGGUACGGGCAGGCUGGAGUACGGCAGGGGAGACUGGAAUUCCUGGUGUAGCGGUGAAAUGCGCAGAUAUCAGGAAGAACACCCGUGGCUAAGGCGGCUCUCUAGUACGGUACUGACGCUGAGACGCGAAAAGCGUGGGGAGCGAACAGG